UACAGAGGGUGCAAGCGUUGCUCGGAAUUAUUGGGCGUAAAGAGCUCGUAGGCGGUCUGUCGCGUCUGCUGUGAAAACUCAGGGCUUAACCCUGAGCUUGCAGUGGGUACGGGCAGACUAGAGUGCGGUAGGGGAGACUGGAAUUCCUGGUGUAGCGGUGAAAUGCGCAGAUAUCAGGAGGAACACCGGUGGCGAAGGCGGGGUCUCUGGGCCGUAACUGACGC
rnacentral:rRNA from 1 species